rnacentral:rRNA from 1 species
UCGUCAGCUCGUGUCGUGAGAUGUUCGGUUAAGUCCCGCAACGAGCGCAACCCUCGACCUUAGUUGCCAGCAUUCAGUUGGGCACUCUAAGGUGACUGCCGGCUAAAAGUCGGAGGAAGGUGGGGAUGACGUCAAAUCAUCAUGCCCCUUAUGACCUGGGCUACACACGUGCUACAAUGGGCGGUACAAAGGGUCGCGAACCCGCGAGGGGGAGCCAAUCCCAAAAAGCCGCUCUCAGUUCGGAUUGCAGGCUGCAACUCGCCUGCAUGAAGCCGGAAUCGCUAGUAAUCGCGGAUCAGCAUACCGCGGUGAAUACGUUCCCGGGCCUU